rnacentral:rRNA from 1 species
UACGUAGGGUGCGAGCGUUAAUCGGAAUUACUGGGCGUAAAGCGCGCGUAGGCGGCUUUGCAAGUCGGGUGUGAAAUCCCCAGGCUCAACCUGGGAACUGCAUUCGAGACUGCAUUGCUAGAGUAUGGGAGAGGGAAGUGGAAUUUCCGGUGUAGCGGUGAAAUGCGUAGAUAUCGGAAGGAACAUCAGUGGCGAAAGCGACUUCCUGGACCAAUACUGACGCUCAUGUGCGAAAGCGUGGGGAGCAAACAGG